rnacentral:rRNA from 1 species
UACGGAGGGUGCAAGCGUUAUCCGGAUUCACUGGGUUUAAAGGGUGCGUAGGCGGGCAGGUAAGUCAGUGGUGAAAUCUCCGAGCUUAACUCGGAAACCGCCAUUGAUACUAUUUGUCUUGAAUAUUGUGGAGGUAAGCGGAAUAUGUCAUGUAGCGGUGAAAUGCUUAGAUAUGACAUAGAACACCAAUUGCGAAGGCAGCUUACUACACAAUGAUUGACGCUGAGGCACGAAAGCGUGGGGAUCAAACAGG